AUUGAACGCUGGCGGCAGGCUUAACACAUGCAAGUCGAGCGGAGACUUCGGUCUUAGCGGCGAACGGGUGAGUAAUACAUCGGAACGUGCCCAAUCGUGGGGGAUAACGUAGCGAAAGUUACGCUAAUACCGCAUACGAUCUACGGAUGAAAGCGGGGGGAUCGCAAGACCUCGCGCGAAUGGAGCGGCCGAUGUCAGAUUAGGUAGUUGGUGGGGUAAAGGCUCACCAAGCCAACGAUCUGUAGCUGGUCUGAGAGGACGACCAGCCACACUGGAACUGAGACGCGGUCCAGACUCCUACGGGAGGCAGCAGUGGGGAAUUUUGGACAAUGGGCGCAAGCCUGAUCCAGCCAUUCCGCGUGCAGGAUGAAGGCCUU
rnacentral:rRNA from 1 species